CACUGCCGAGAAAAGCCUCUAGAUAGAAAAUAGGUGCCCGUACCGCAAACCGACACAGGUAGUCAAGAUGAGAAUUCUAAGGUGAGCGAGCGAACUCUCGUUAAGGAACUCGGCAAAAUGACCCCGUAACUUCGGGAGAAGGGGUGCUCUUUAGGGUUAACGCCCAGAAGAGCCGCAGUGAAUAGGCCCAAGCGACUGUUUAUCAAAAACACAGGUCUCUGCUAAACCGUAAGGUGAUGUAUAGGGGCUGACGCCUGCCCGGUGCUGGAAGGUUAAGAGGAGUGGUUAGCUUCUGCGAAGCUACGAAUCGAAGCCCCAGUAAACGGCGGCCGUAACUAUAACGGUCCUAAGGUAGCGAAAUUCCUUGUCGGGUAAGUUCCGACCCGCACGAAAGGCGUAACGAUUUGGGCACUGUCUCAACGAGAGACUCGGUGA
rnacentral:rRNA from 1 species